GUCCACGCCGUAAACGAUGAUAACUAGCUGUCCGGGCACUUGGUGCUUGGGUGGCGCAGCUAACGCAUUAAGUUAUCCGCCUGGGGAGUACGGCCGCAAGGUUAAAACUCAAAGAAAUUGACGGGGGCCUGCACAAGCGGUGGAGCAUGUGGUUUAAUUCGAAGCAACGCGCAAGAACCUUACCAACGUUUGACAUCCCUAGUAUGGAUCGUGGAGACACUUUCCUUCAGUUCGGCUGGCUAGGUGACAGGUGCUGCAUGGCUGUCGU
rnacentral:rRNA from 1 species